rnacentral:lncRNA from 1 species
GAAACGAGUUCCUAUAAAGCAUAUUUACUUCAUAAAAAACUUGAAGAAAAACAAAAUUAUUUAAAUAACCCGAUAUAUUUUGCGGAAAUGAUGGUCAGCGGAAUUCUGUUAGUAGUUUUAAUAAAUACGAUUGAUGUAAAUUCACAGAGAAAAGCCAUAAAAUCAACUUGUGGUUACUUUAACUUCAAACUGUGCAUUGAAGAGAAAGUUACGAUAGUUAAAAACAGCGAUCCAGAAAAGAUGAGAUUCGUGAAAGGUCCCUCAAUAUCGUUAGAUUCAGAGGUAUUAAAGAAAUAUGAAAAUUUAAAGACCUCUGGUUAUAAGAAAAAAAAAGAGCGGAAGCAAUUUAGAUAACCGGCACCUAUUCACUAAAAGUUUGAUUAAAAUUGUCGAAUUGAC